rnacentral:rRNA from 1 species
AUUGAACGCUGGCGGCAGGCCUAACACAUGCAAGUCGAGCGCGUGGCGCACGGGUGAGUAAUGUCUGGGAACGUCCCUGGUAGGGGGGGAUAACUUUUAGAAAGGAUAGCUAAUCCCGCAUACUAUUAUAUGCGCCGAGAUGGGAUUCGCUUGUGGGUGGGGUAAAGGCUCACCUAGGCGACGAUCCCUAGCGGGUCUGAGAGGAUGACCAGCCACACGGGAACUGAGACACGGUCCAGACUCCUACGGGAGGCAGCAGUGGGGAAUAUUGCACAAUGGGCGCAAGCCUGAUGCAGCCAUGCCGCGUGUGUGAAGAAGGCCUUCGGGUUGUAAAGCACUUUCAGCGGGGAGGCGUUACCCGCAGAAGAAGCACCGGCUAACUCCGUGCCAGCAGCCGCGGUAAUUC